ACGAACGCUGGCGGCGUGCCUAAUACAUGCAAGUUGAGCGCUGAAGGUUGGUACUUGUACCAACUGGAUGAGCAGCGAACGGGUGAGUAACGCGUGGGGAAUCUGCCUUUGAGCGGGGGACAACAUUUGGAAACGAAUGCUAAUACCGCAUAAAAACUUUAAACACAAGUUUUAAGUUUGAAAGAUGCAAUUGCAUCACUCAAAGAUGAUCCCGCGUUGUAUUAGCUAGUUGGUGAGGUAAAGGCUCACCAAGGCGAUGAUACAUAGCCGACCUGAGAGGGUGAUCGGCCACAUUGAGACUGAGACACGGCCCAAACUCCUACGGGAGGCAGCAGUAGGGAAGCUUCGGCAAGAGACGAAAGUCUGACCGAGCAACGCCGCGUGAGUGAAGAAGGUUAUCGGAUCGUAAAACUCUGUUGGUAGAGAAGAACGUUGGUGAGAGUGGAAAGCUCAUCAAGUGACGGUAACUACCCAGAAAGGGACGGCUAACUACGUG
rnacentral:rRNA from 1 species